CAUCACUCCUUUUGUGUUUGCCAGGAGGAAACACAUGGCAUUAGUCUGCCUGCAGUCUACACAGACAAGGGAAAGCUGGAAUCAGCAGAAGACCUGACAGGAGACAGAGGUUCUGAAGGAGGGACGCAGACCCAGAGCAGGAGGUGGGAGAAGAGGAUGCUGUGCUGCACCCAUGUGUGCCUCACAUGAGCUCCAAGCACAGGAUCCAUCAUGGGACAUGCAGCCCAUGGUGAUGCACUGCCAGUCUCCCUCCAUUCCCACCCUGAGAGCCACAGCUGGUCCUGCACAACAGGCUCUGUGUUUCAACCAGCUCCUGCUUCACAGUGCAGCUUGAAAGAG
rnacentral:lncRNA from 1 species